UACGUAGGGGGCAAGCGUUGUCCGGAUUUAUUGGGCGUAAAGAGCGUGUAGGCGGUUUUACAGGUCCGCUGUGAAAACUCGAGGCUCAACCUCGAGCUGUCGGUGGAAACCGUAAGGCUAGAGUCCGGAAGAGGAGCGUGGAAUUCCUGGUGUAGCGGUGAAAUGCGCAGAUAUCAGGAAGAACACCCGUGGCGAAGGCGGCUCUCUGGGACGGUACUGACGCUGAGACGCGAAAGCGUGGGGAGCGAACAGG
rnacentral:rRNA from 1 species